rnacentral:rRNA from 1 species
UACAGAGGGUGCGAGCGUUGUCCGGAAUCACUGGGCGUAAAGGGCGCGUAGGCGGUCUGCUAAGCGUGCGGUGAAAGCUCGGGGCUCAACCCCGCGUCGGCCGUGCGAACUGUUUUGCUUGAGCACUGUAGAGGCAGGCGGAAUUCCGGGUGUAGCGGUGGAAUGCGUAGAGAUCCGGAAGAACACCGGUGGCGAAGGCGGCCUGCUGGGCAGUAGCUGACACUGAGGCGCGACAGCGUGGGGAGCAAACAGG